rnacentral:rRNA from 1 species
CCUACGGGUGGCAGCAGUGAGGAAUAUUGGUCAAUGGUCGGGAGACUGAACCAGCCAAGUCGCGUGAGGGAUGAAGGUACAAAGUAUCGUAAACCUCUUUUGUCAGGGAAUAAAGACUUGGACGCGUCCCCGUAUGUAUGUACCUUAAGAAAAAGCAUCGGCUGACUCCGUGCCAGCAGCCGCGGUAAUACGGAGGAUGCGAGCGUUAUCCGGAUUUAUUGGGUUUAAAGGGUGCGUAGGUGGAGUGUUAAGUCAGGUGUUAAAGGUGUGGGCUCAACCGCAGCGCUGCAGUUGAAACUGGCAGUCUUGAGUACAGGAGCAGUGGGCGGAAUGCGUGGUGUAGCGGGGACAUGCUUAGAUAUCACGAAGAACUCCGAGUGCGAAGGCAGCUCACUGGACUGCUACUGACGCUGAGGCUCGAAAGUGUGGGUAUCAAACAGGAUUAGAUACCCGAGUAGUC